rnacentral:lncRNA from 1 species
UUAUACUGUUUAUUGACUGGUAGGUGUCUUGACUGUUCCUCGUCACUACUCCACCGAAGUUAGUCUUGAUACUUACUGAGCACUGCCGUGGUGUGCUCACGCUACUCUUCUGUACAUUUUUGUUGUGCAGAUACAUGUACCCUCCACUCAGUUUUGUCAGCCUUGGAAGGAGGCGUAUCGAUAGAGAUUUCGAGGUAUAUCUGCUACGUCCGCAGACCAAAGAGUCCCUUUCCAGAUUUCUGUAAUAAGUAUAGCUCCUUCAAUAUUUCUCCUUUGUAUAGAUAUUCUUGAGUCAGAGCCUCGUAUAUAUCCCUUAGCUUGUAAUUUGUGAGAUUCCGGGUUAUGAAAAUUUUUGUUAGCCUCAAGAGUCGUUAUUGUAUGUACCGAGCAG